rnacentral:rRNA from 1 species
UCAAAGGGUCAGUCUUCGGACAGGUGUGAAGGUGCUAGGCAUGGUUGUCGUCAGCUCGUGCCGUGAGGUGUCGGCUUAAGUGCCAUAACGANNNCAACCCUUGCUGCCAGUUACUAACAGGUCAUGCUGAGGACUCUGGCGGGACUGCCAUCGUAAGAUGUGAGGAAGGUGGGGAUGACGUCAAAUCAGCACGGCCCUUACGUCCGGGGCUACACACGUGUUACAAUGGGGGGUACAGAAGGCAGCUACCAUGCGAGUGGAUGCUAAUCCNNAAAAACCCCNNNNNGUUCGGACUGGAGUCUGCAACCCGACUCCACGAAGCUGGAUUCGCUAGUAAUCGCGCAUCAGCCACGGCGC